rnacentral:rRNA from 1 species
GUAGGUGGCAAGCGUUGUCCGGAAUUAUUGGGCGUAAAGCGCGCGCAGGUGGUUCUUUAAGUCUGAUGUGAAAGCCCCCGGCUCAACCGGGGAGGGUCAUUGGAAACUGGGGAACUUGAGUGCAGGAGAGGAAAGUGGAAUUCCACGUGUGGCGGUGAAAUGCGUAGAUAUGUGGAGGAACACCAGUGGCGAAGGCGACUUUCUGGCCUGUAACUGACACUGAGGCGCGAAAGCGUGGGGAGCAAACAGGGAUUAGAUACCCUGGUAGUCCACGCCGUAAACGAUGAGUGCUAAGUGUUGGGGGGGUUUCCGCCCCCUCAGUGCUGCAGCUAACGCAUUAAGCACUCCGCCUGGGAGUACGGUCGCAAGACUG